rnacentral:RNase_P_RNA from 1 species
GACGCAGGUCGAGGUGGUUGCUCCUUAGUUUAUCUAGGGAGAGGAAAGUCCGAACUCCAAAGGGCAGCGUGGUCGUUAACGACGACUUUCGGGAUUCCGAACAGGAAAGUGCCACAGAAAAUAUACCGCCUUUGGCAUCUUAGAUGUUAAGGGUAAGGGUGAAAAGGCAGUGUAAGAGACUACCGGGUUGUACGUGAGUACAAUCGCAGGCAAACCCCACGCGGAGCAAGAUCGCAUAGAGACAAGCCCGUUAAAAACUUUGUUUCUAACGAGGCAGGAACCUGCCCGGUUCGUUAUCAGUCUCGGGUAGAUCGCUAAAUUCCGAUGGCAACAUCGGGAUAAGAGGAAUUGCCACCGAAGUACAGAAUUCGGCUUAUUGGCCUGCGUCAUUU